AAACGGCCUUUAGUGCAGAUCUUGGUGGUAGUAGCAAAUAUUCAAAUGAGAACUUUGAAGACUGAAGUGGAGAAAGGUUCCACGUGAACAGCAAUUGGACGUGGGUUAGUCGAUCCUAAGAGAUAGGAGAAAUCUGUUGUAAGGUCUGGCUAUCUUCGGAAAGCCGCUUCUAUCGAAAGGGAAUCGGGUUAAUAUUCCCGAACCAGGACGUGGAUAUUGAGUGGUAACACAAGCGAAGCUGGGGACGGCGGCGGGAGCCCCGACAAGAGUUUUCUGUUCUUGUUAACAAGUGCACCGACCCUGGAAUCGGAUUGACCGGAGAUAGGGUUGGAGGCUUGGGAAAGGCGGUUAGUUUUGGACCGUUUCGGUGCGCUCUCGACGUUCCGUGAAAACCCAGCGGCGUGACUUAUUCGCACCCCUGGUCGUACUCAUCACCGCAUCAGGUCUCCAAGGUUAGCAGCCUCUAGUCGAUAGAAGAAUGUAGAUAAGGGAAGUCGGCAAACUAGAUCCGUAACUUCGGGAAAAGGAUUGGCUCUGAGGGUUGGGCCUAGGGGUCUCUUGGUUAAUAUUGCGGCUGCUAG
rnacentral:rRNA from 12 species